GGAUCUUUGGCCGAGUGGUUUAAGGCGUUCGACUCAAGAUCGAAUAUCGUAAGAUGCAGGAGUUCGAAUCUCCUAGGAUCCA
rfam:Wickerhamomyces anomalus NRRL Y-366-8 unplaced genomic scaffold WICANscaffold_4, whole genome shotgun sequence.